rnacentral:rRNA from 1 species
UACGAGGGGAGGCAAGCGUUGUUCGGAUUUACUGGGCGUAAAGGGCGCGUAGGCGGUCGUGACAAGUCAACUUGUGAAAUCUCCGGGCUUAACUCGGAACGGUCAAGUGAUACUGUCGGACUAGAGUACAGAAGGGGCAACUGGAAUUCUCGGUGUAGCGGUGAAAUGCGUAGAUAGUCGAGAGGAACACCUGCGGCGAAGGCGGGUUGCUGGGCUGAUACUGACGCUGAUGCGCGAAAGCCAGGGGAGCGAACGGG